UUGCAGCUAAUUAAACCUACCAACUCCCUUGCUUCAUGGGGAGCUGGUGUGCAAUGACUGCAAUCAGCAGCCUCCUUGGUAAUCUAUGCAACCUGUUGCUUUUAUGGGUUGUCAAGAGAACCUUGGAGCCACCU